CAUGUUAUAUUCUUAAAGGCUUUUUUAUGAUUUCUGGUGCAGCUGGCAUUGGCGGCUUUGCAUCAUGCUAAUGAGGUGCAUAGAGUUCUGGACUAUGAAAGAUACCUAGAGAACAUGCUCAUACGCCAAAAUUCCAUUCACAGCAGCACAGAGCUCAUUCAGCAUCUGAAUGCGAUAGAUUCCUCGGUUAGGACAUAUAAAUUCCCUUCUGAGAAAGAUAUGAAACACAUCAACAGGAAGCUGAGGUCUUGUUGGGGCCUUAGUUCACAUGAUGAUAGUAAGAAACGAGACAAGAAAUCGAAGCACAAAUCCAAGCGGAGUGCAGG